GCCCGGCGUUCCCUCCCCUUCCGUGCGCAAGUGGAGGCCGGGGUGGGGCGGGGCAGGCGCAGCGUGGGCCGAGUUUGCGGGGCUGCUCCCCUCACCCAACCCCUUCGAGUCCUCCGCGGGCUCCGCCUCACCCGGCCCGUGGGGGAGGUUCCGUCCCGCCGCCUUCGCCCGCGCGCUGCACUCGCGGACGGUCUCUGCUCGCCUUGGGCGCGCCAUGGCGCGCGGGGCUGCGCUGGCGCUGCUGCUCCUCGGCCUGCUCCGCCCUCUGGUGGCCGCCCCGGGGCUGACUUUGACUUAGCGAUGCCUUUCGUGAUGGAGGAAACAGUACUGAUGAUUGCAAUGCUCAUGUUUUACACAAAGGUGACCCAGCACCACCUAAUCCCCCCAAACCGAAGCCAGAUCCAAACCCCAACCGACCUGGUUUCACUGGUGACCCAGCACCACCUAAUCCCCCCAAACCAAAGCCAGAUCCAAAUCCCAACUGACCUGGUUUCACUGAUAAGAGCCUCUAACCCUACGGGGUGGUCUCCGUGUUGUUUACCUGGCAGUGAUGUCCGUGUCAUCUGAGGAGAGGAGAUUUCAGGGGCUGACUUUGACUUAGCAGAUGCCUUUCGUGGUGGAGGAAACAAUGACCCAGCACCUCCUAAUUCACCCAAGCCAAAGCCAAACGCGAACCCUGAGCAGCCUGGAUUCAUUGAACUUUGGUGUUAACAGCCCGUUUCUGUCCUCCAGGGGAUGACUUUGACUUAGCAGAUGCCUUACAUGACAAAGGAAACUAUGAGCCAGCACCACCGAACCCACCCAAACCGAAGCCAAAUCCAAACCCCAAGCAGCCUGAUUCCACUGAUUCUACUUUACCCCUCAGUGACAGUCAUUUCACACUCCUCUCUGUCUCAAUGUCUGAGGCACCCUGGGACCAUCCUGGCUGGAAAGCAUAGGGACAUUGCUGGCCUGAGCUGAAGUGCUGAUUCAAAUAAAUUGAAAGCUGAAUUGCCUUAGGAAGAGCUACUUUACCCAGGAACAAAUAUGGAGAGGAACUCCUUGAAACUGUGUUCUCAAGUAGACCACUUUUGAGAAAUUAUACAUUUAUCAUAACAUCUCAAGUCCUGCUCUGCAUAGAAUGAGCCAUUAUUAUCCAGAAAAGUUCUCCAUUCCCUGCGAUUCAUAAGGAAAUGCAGGCCUAACCAGAAAACAGGAACUGCGACAACCUUGCGUCAGACACAUCCAGUCUCUCUAUUCACAGUUGCAUUCUCUCUCUCUCUUUUUUUUUUGUUUACAAAGCCCAUCACCCAUAACUCGGAAAAAAAAAACAAAAACAAAACAGAUGAGCACAUUGUUGAGCUCGCUUCUGAGAAAGCUUCUCAUUGCGAGUGCCGGGAUUCCACAUUUCUCAAGCACCUUCGCUCCUCCAGAAAGCGUGUCUCUAGUUCCGUGGUGAUACGAGAGAGAAAUGACAAUUGUCUAUAUUAUCAGGAUGGCCCAUUGUUCUCUGUGGAUCUCAAUCAAUGUGGACAUCAGCCAUGAUCAAGCUCUUUCUUUUCUUUCUCUCUCCUUCCUUCCUUCCUCCUUCCCCUUCC